UCUUAUUCCUCGAGGAGCACCAAUUACAGUAAUGUAUUCAUUUUUGCUGUAGCCUAACGCAGUAAUGUAACGCUUUACUAAUUAAAUUUCGGUAAUAUUAUACUCGUUCCAAUCUCAGUACCGUGAGUUCCAACGCAUUUUAACGCAACAUUAGUGGUGUUUUUUUUUUGUUUGUUUUUUUAAGAAUUCCUCAACCCCGCGAAACAUUCUUAGGAAAAAAACGCCGUCAGUGUUAUUUCCUGUUGCUGGAUUCGACGGUGGAGAUGACUGCAGAGACAGAUACAUUUGCAAGAUAGAUAUUUUUUUUUAUUUUUUUCAGGAGUUAUGACGCUGCGUUGAAGUGAGGUGCUGUCCCGUCUCUGUCCCCGUGGUCAGAACCAGAGACACGGACAACAUGUCCCAACCGGUGAAGACACGAUGGCAUCUCCAACCCCUCUCUCCAAGGCCAACACCACCUUCUCUCUGGCUUUGCUC